CUUUCGCUGACUCCGAUGAAGACAGCUUUCCAGGUGGCUUAAAUUCGGGACAAAAUUUGAAAAUCAGGCCCAAAUUAUUUUUAUCCAUAGCAAUUAAGGAUGCCAUCCUGCUAUUACGUUUCCUCUCUGUCCUCCUAGCUCUCGUUAGCCCUCAACAUUAAGUCCUCUUUUUCUUAAACCAUCACAAAUUCCAGCAUCUCCGAUGAGAUCCUCGGUGAUUUGAAAAUUUUCUCCACCUCCUUCUUCCCAGCACGUACGCACCGCAUUGUCCUCCCUUUCCUUUGAAGUUUUGCUCCCUGAUGAUUUCUUUGGGAGCCAGAUGACUUCACUGGCCAUCUGUAGAAGGGUAAUUUCCAAGUCUGUUUCAGCGCCCCUGACCUCGAAUAAUUCCCCAAUCAGUCAUACAUUUUAUCAGGUCCAGUCGCCCUUCCAAAUGAAUCACUGUCAUGAUUAGCUGCCACGUAGGAAGCUGUGAGAGAGGCAGAAGUUGUGUAACCUCCUACUUCGUCUUUAUUAAAGGGAGACGUCUCCUGCCUGACUUUUGAAGGCUCCCUUCAGCUGACCCCGUUUUCCCCCCUUAACCUAAUUUCCCAGCAAGUUUCUCCACUUGACUCCAGUCUAGUUCUUGGAGAAAAUACAUGUUACUCCUUGCUAAGGUGCUUUAAUCUUUUAUUUCUUUCCUCUAACAUGUAGGUCUUUGCUUUCUUCCCUAAUAAAUAUCUGCUAUAUUUGUAAUAUGAUCGGCCCUUCUGCAACUCAUGUUGAGUCCCCAUUAGGAGACAGAUGUUAAGAGCAGGACCAGAAGGGCCCUUUAAGAAAAGAUUGGUCUGCAUUCAUGAGUGGUUAACUCACUCAUAUGAUUAGCACAUUAACGGGUUGAGAGCUGGGCCAGGAGCCACCUGUGCUUUCGAGCAGACAGCAAGAGGAACCGAGGGAUGAGCCGAUGAAAGCUCCGGGCUUCCCCGAACCUGCAGAGGCCCGAGAUUUGAGUGAAGACAUUAUCUCUUCAGUGUUGAUUUUAAAAUCCAUUGGUUCAUCUCCAUAAUAUGGUGCAAAGCCAGCAGAUUUUUCACCACCUCCAAUCCCAGCGAUGGCAGCAGCACCACCACAGCAAGGACCAGGGGCACCGGGGGGUCCAGGAGGACCUGGUUGUCCUGGGUGGCCUGGGGAACCCUAAGAACAUGACAGAAAAGAUAAUAUUUCCUGCACUAUACAAUGAAUUCAAAUAAAAAAAAAAACAAAAAACAAAAAACAACUUACAGGAGCACCUCGGGCACCAGCAGGACCAGGAGAACCAGCAGGACCAGAAGGGCCCUAAGAGGAAACAAAUCAGUGAGCAAAUACACAGGGAACUGUCUAUGUUUAUUGACAGGACCCACAGGACCAGCGGGGCCUGGAUGACCAGGUGCACCAGGGGCCCCAGGAGAGCCAUUUUCACCACGAUCACCC